GUAGGUGGCAAGCGUUGUCCGGAAUUAUUGGGCGUAAAGCGCGCGCAGGCGGUUCUUUAAGUCUGAUGUGAAAGCCCACCGGCUCAACCGUGGAGGGUCAUUGGAAACUGGAGAACUUGAGUACAGAAGAGGAAAGCGGAAUUCCACGUGUAGCGGUGAAAUGCGUAGAGAUGUGGAGGAACACCAGUGGCGAAGGCGGCUUUUCUGGUCUGUAACUGACGCUGAGGCGCGAAAGCGUGGGGAGCAAACAGGGAUUAGAUACCCUGGUAGUCCACGCCGUAAACGAUGAGUGCUAAGUGUUAGGGGGGUUUCCGCCCCCUUAGUGCUGCAGCUAACGCAUUAAGCACUCCGCCGUGGGGAGUACGGCCCGCAAGGCUG
rnacentral:rRNA from 1 species